GACGUCGAUCCCGCCGCCGCCGACAUCGAUCCCGUUGCCGCCGACAACGUCAGUCCCGCCGCCGCCGACGUCGGUCCCGCCGCCGUCGACGUCGUCGAUCUCAUCAGUGAUGUGGUGGGGGGCCACACCAACGUGGCCAUACCCAUGGGGAGUACCCCACGGACUAUUGAUGACCCCACCACCACCACCACCACCAACACAACCGCCACAGGAGCGGACAAGACCUCCUCGAUGGCAACGAGCAGGGCGCGGGCGAAGAAGGGGCCGCGGAGGGCAGCACAUAAGAGGAAGGGGCCGCGGAGGGCAAAAUAUAUACAUAACUUAUAAGUAAGAGAGCAAUGCCAUGGAUGUAUAUAUAUAAAAAAUACAUAUAAUAUGUAUAUAAAUAU